GGCGAACGCUGGCGGCGUGCCUAAUACAUGCAAGUUGAGCGCUGAAGGUUGGUACUUGUACCGACUGGAUGAGCAGCGAACGGGUGAGUAACGCGUGGGGAAUCUGCCUUUGAGCGGGGGACAACAUUUGGAAACGAAUGCUAAUACCGCGUAAAAACUUUAAACACAAGUUUUAAGUUUGAAAGAUGCAAUUGCAUCACUCAAAGAUGAUCCCGCGUUGUAUUAGCUAGUUGGUGAGGUAAAGGCUCACCAAGGCGAUGAUACAUAGCCGACCUGAGAGGGUGAUCGGCCACAUUGGGACUGAGACACGGCCCAAACUCCUACGGGAGGCAGCAGUAGGGAAUCUUCGGCAAUGGACGAAAGUCUGACCGAGCAACGCCGCGUGAGUGAAGAAGGUUUUCGGAUCGUAAAACUCUGUUGGUAGAGAAGAACGUUGGUGAGAGUGGAAAGCUCAUCAAGUGACGGUAACUACCCAGAAAGGGACGGCUAACUACGUG
rnacentral:rRNA from 1 species